rnacentral:sRNA from 1 species
UACACUGAUUAAAGUUUUAUUUUCACCGAACGCUAUCUCUGACAGCUAAAUCUGACCCAUGUGUGUGACCAGGAAAUCAACAGUGAUGCCGCUCAAUUCUCGUACACUCUUGGUUGCCAGGAUGUACACAGUUAUUACACUGGAGAACAUUGCCUUCCACCACCAAUUGUAGAGCCCGGACCAGUUCGAAAAGUAAAAGUGAAUGCUCUCCCUUUGACAGACAGCCAGCUUGUGGUGGUCACGUGGCUACCGCCCGAGAAUCUCGGCUCCGCCGGAUACGUCAGCGCUUACCACGUGGUAUGGGGUUUGAUCAGGAUCGCUCCUGUGGCCAACUCUCUGGACGCUUUUGCUCAGAUGUACAUCGCAGACGUCCUGGGUAAUCGGACCGUGCCAGGGACAGAAUUCGGGACAGACAUCCAUGUCAACAAAUCAGACAUGCCUCCUAAUACAGACAUCGGUAUAACGGUUCGAGCUAUUGGACCGAAUCAAGUCAUUAACAAUGAUGUCCAGGGUUUGGUCUACAAGGAUGCUAAUCAAUGGACAGCUGGACAUCAACAAGGUAUCUGCUGUUGAGUUUGAUGAACUGGGCGGUUAGAGUCAACCUCGUCUCCAUCACACAAACUAUCAAAUACUACUUACAGUCUAACUAUCACUAACAAACCAAAGUUAGAUCAUAGAGAGAAACAAAAAUAAUAUAUUAUUACUUAAUUACAACGGGCGAACUGAAAUCACGGGCGCAUCGACAAAAACAGGGCCAAGGACUUAUCUGCUCAGUAUCCCGCGUCGAGCCCCCAUUUCUGUCAGGUGGGGUUUUUUCGCUUAAGUAGGGUAUGAUAUGAUGGUCCCGUAUCCCCACGCCUCGAACAGAGUAACACCCGAA